rnacentral:siRNA from 1 species
CACACAACUCAACUUUUUGGUUUG